rnacentral:rRNA from 1 species
UACGGGAGGCAGCAGUAGGGAAUCUUCCGCAAUGGGCGAAACCCUGACCGAGCAACGCCGCGUGAGUGAAGAAGGUUUUCGGAUCGUAAAGCUCUGUUGUAAGAGAAGAACGUGUGUGAGAGUGGAAAGUUCACACAGUGACGGUAACUUACCAGAAAGGGACGGCUAACUACGUGCCAGCAGCCGCGGUAAU